rnacentral:rRNA from 1 species
GACGAACGCUGGCGGCGUGCUUAACACAUGCAAGUCGAACGGAAAGGCCCUGCUUGCAGGGUACUCGAGUGGCGAACGGGUGAGUAACACGUGGGUGAUCUGCCCUGCACUUCGGGAUAAGCCUGGGACACUGGGUCUAAUACCGGAUAGGAGCCAUUUUUAGUGUGAUGGUUGGAAAGUUUUUUCGGUGUAGGAUGAGCUCGCGGCCUAUCAGCUUGUUGGUGGGGUAAUGGCCUACCAAGGCGGCGACGGGUAGCCGGCCUGAGAGGGUGGACGGCCACAGUGGGACUGAGAGACGGCCCAGACACCUACGGGAGGCAGCAGGGGGGAAUAUUGCACAAUGGGCGCAAGCCUGAUGCAGCGACGCCGCGUGGGGGAUGACGGCCUUCGGGUUGUAAACUCCUUUCGCUAGGGACGAAGCUUUUUGUGACGGUACCUAGAUAAGAAGCACCGGCUAACUACGUG